GUUACCUCAAGUUUGGCUGACUUGAAACAAGCCCCAAAUUGAACCCAACUAAGAGCAAUCUGUCUUUGUUUACAUUUGCACUUCACAGGCAUUGGUGGAACCUGGGUGGUGGACUGUCACUGACCUGUUUUCGAAAUCUACGUACAUGGUUGGAAAAUAACAGAAAACAGUUCAUACAGCUGCCUUCGUUACCAAGACAACAAACAGAAGAAAUAACUGGCUACGUGGCUUUUCUCUUUUUCUGAACUACCUUCCAAAUACUAGUAAUCUCUUCCCUAAAAUCUGUGUAUCUGUUUGAGAUUACUAGUCGAGUAGUUCCUUUUUUUAGCAAGAGUAUGUUGUGCCCCUGAUUAUAGACUGAGAACAGGGAGUUGUAUUUUUUUCCUCAAGUUUUCUUUUAAAUGAUUUUGAAACAUACACAGUUAAUAACACAUUUAUACAUGUUAAGUAUAAGAAUGUAAAACUUUACAGAAGUGUUUAGUGUAAAAAGUGUAAAUUUCUCUUUCGAGAAUCCUUACCUUGACCAAUAUCAACAUAUUAUAGUGAAUAUGAUUCAGUAUAAUUGACUUCGAGUGAAUUUAAGGGCAGCAAUGUAUUCAGCUCAGUAAAAACUACAUGUUCAAUAUAUGUGUUUAAAAAAGCCAAAAAAACAUUAAAACCCUUUAAAAUUUAUAUGAACAAAAUGUGUUUCUUUUAUGAAAUUCAAAAAAAACAAGCAAAAAACAAUACAUAAAUUACCCACAGUUACCACUACCCAGUCACCGC
ensembl:lncRNA